GUAGGUGGCAAGCGUUGUCCGGAAUUAUUGGGCGUAAAGCGCGCGCAGGUGGUUCUUUAAGUCUGAUGUGAAAGCCCCCGGCUCAACCGGGGAGGGUCAUUGGAAACUGGGGAACUUGAGUGCAGGAGAGGAAAGUGGAAUUCCACGUGUAGCGGUGAAAUGCGUAGAUAUGUGGAGGAACACCAGUGGCGAAGGCGACUUUCUGGCCUGUAACUGACACUGAGGCGCGAAAGCGUGGGGAGCAAACAGGGAUUAGAUACCCUGGUAGUCCACGCCGUAAACGAUGAGUGCUAAGUGUUGGGGGGGUUUACCCGCCCCGUCAGUGCUGCAGCUAACGCAUUAAGCACUCCGCCUGGGGAGUACGGUCGCAAGACUG
rnacentral:rRNA from 1 species